rnacentral:tRNA from 1 species
GUCUUCUGUGGUGUAAUGGUUAGCACGAUCGCCUUUGAAGCGAUAGAUUCGGGUUCGAUCCCCGGUGGAGACU